CACGAAAGUUCUUCUGUUUUAAAAAAACACUCAAGGAAAUUGAAUUUGUAGUGAAGAUGCUACAUUAAAAUUGUUAGACGAGAAGUCCCCAUGGAGCUUUACUGAAAGCCUAAAAAAAAUUUUUUAUUUAUUUAUAGGUUAGACAGUUUUGUUGGGGUGAUAGUUUUUUAAAAAGUAACGAAAACGAACUAUGACGCAUGUUUCACUCUGAAAACUUGAAGAGACAUUUGGGGUGUGUUUUAUGAUCUAUUGUUUUGAAUGAAAAAGAUAAUGAAAGCA
rnacentral:rRNA from 2 species